rfam:Salmo salar isolate Sally breed double haploid chromosome ssa15, whole genome shotgun sequence.
GGGUGUGUGGCUCAGUUGGUAGAGCAUGGUGUUUGCAAUGCCAGGGUUGUGGGUUCGAUUCCCACGCGGGACCA